rnacentral:rRNA from 1 species
CCUACGGGUGGCUGCAGUGGGGAAUAUUGGGCAAUGGGCGCAAGCCUGACCCAGCAACGCCGCGUGAAGGAAGAAGGCUUUCGGGUUGUAAACCUCUUUUGUCAGGGACGAAGCAAGUGAUGGUACCUGAAGAAUAAGCCACGGCUAACUUCGUGCCAGCAGCCGCGGUACUACGUAGGGGGGAAGCGUCCUCCGGUUUUACUGGGUGUAAAGGGCGAGUAGGCGGGACUGCAAGUCAGAUGUGAAACCCACGGGCUCAACCUGUGGCCUGCAUUUGAAACUGUAGUUCUUGAGUACUGGAGAGGCAGACGGAAUUCCUAGUGUAGCGGUGAAAUGCGUAGAUAUUAGGAGGAACACCAGUGGCGAAGGCGGUCUGCUGGACAGCAACUGACGCUGAGGCGCGAAAGCGUGGGGAGCAAACAGGAUUAGAUACCCGAGUAGUC